rnacentral:rRNA from 1 species
GUCCUAGCCAUAAACGAUGGGCACUGGGUAGGGGGAAGCCUAUGCUCUUCCCUGCCGAAGCAAAUGUAUUAAGUGCCCCGCCUGGGGAGUACGCUCGCAAGGGUAAAACUCAAAGGAAUUGACGGGGGCUCACACAAGCGGUGGAGCAUGUGGUUCAAUUCGAAGCAACGCGAAGAACCUUACCUGGGCUUGACAUCCAUGGAUUAGUCUCCUGAAAGGGAGAGUACUGCUCUUCGGAGCCGGAACAUGGACAGGUGUUGCAUGGCUGUCGU